rnacentral:rRNA from 1 species
UACAGAGGUCUCAAGCGUUGUUCGGAUUCAUUGGGCGUAAAGGGUGCGUAGGCGGCGCGGUAAGUCGGGUGUGAAAUCUUGGAGCUUAACUCCGAAACUGCAUUCGAUACUGCCUUGCUUGAGGACUGGAGAGGAGACUGGAAUUUACGGUGUAGCGGUGAAAUGCGUAGAUAUCGUAAGGAAGGCCAGUGGCGAAGGCGGGUCUCUGGACAGUUCCUGACGCUGAGGCACGAAGGCCAGGGGAGCAAACGGG